rnacentral:misc_RNA from 1 species
AAAUUGGUAUCCCAUAUUGGAGCCAAUGGGGCGAUGCCAGUUGAGAUUGUGCCUUUCUGUUGGAAAUUCACGCAAGAAAGGCUUCAACAGUUGUUCGACUACGCGAGUUUCAUGGCCAAGUUGAGGACUAAUGGCGGUGGAAAUGGUGAGCCUUUUGUUACUGAUAAUGGGAACUAUAUUGUGGACUUAUAUUUUAAGAAGGAUAUUGGUGAUUUAAGGGCUGCUAGCGAUGCUAUUCUGAGGCUAGCUGGGGUUGUGGAACAUGGAAUGUUUCUUGGUAUGGCAACUACUGUAAUUGUUGCAGGUGAGCUUGGGGUCACUAUCAAGAACAAGUAGAUUGACAUGGGUAUUUAACAAUUACACAAUUUUUUAUGGGUUACCAGUCAAAUUGGGAAAAUUUUAACUGGUUGGUAUUGUAACAGUAUUGACAUCAAUUAUGAGGAGAUAUUCUCCAUUAGUUUUGGUCAGAAAAUUUAGCAGGGAAGAUUAGGAGCUUUUAGGAUUCUGCUAGCGGCUGAAUAAUCAUCUUAUUGUGUAUCAGCUGCCAUCUUCUCUUCUUUUCAAAAUAAAAACNUUCUUCUUAAUUGGGUUUAUCUGUUUUAUUUGAUACAUUUUGGCAAGUUUGAAUUGACUGG